GGGGUUGUGGCUCAGUGGUAGAGCAUUUGCCUAGCAUGCAUGAGGUACUGGGUUCAUUUCCCAGCACCACG
rnacentral:tRNA from 1 species